CCUACGGGAGGCAGCAGUGGGGAAUAUUGCACAAUGGGGGAAACCCUGAUCCAGCGACGCCGCGUGAGUGAAGAAGUAUUUCGGUAUGUAAAGCUCUAUCAGCAGGGAAGAAAAUAAUGGUACCUGACUAAGAAUCCGCGUCUAACUACGAGCCAGCAGCCGCGGUAAUACGUAGGCGGCAAGCGUUAUACUGAUGUACUGGGUGGAAAGGGAGCGUAGACGGCCUGGCAAGUCUGAAGUGAAAGCCCGCGGCCCAACCGCGGGACUGCUUUGGAAACUGCCCGGCUUGAGUGCUGGAGAGGUAAGCGGAAUUCCGAGUGUAGCGGUGAAAUGCGUAGAUAUUAGGAGGAACACCAGUGGCGAAGGCGGCUUGCUGGACAGUAACUGACGUUGAGGCUCGAAAGCGUGGGGAGCAAACAGGAUUAGAUACCCGUGUAGUC
rnacentral:rRNA from 1 species